GAUGAACGCUGGCGGCGUGCCUAAUACAUGCAAGUCGAGCGAAGCGGGGACGGGUGAGUAACACGUGGAUAACCUCCUAUAAUACUGGGAUAACUUCGGGAAACCCGAGCUAAAUCGGAUACUUAUUGAUGUCUCCUCGCUGCAUUAGCUAGUUGGUAAGUUAACGGCUUACCAAGGCAACGAUGCAUAGCCGACCUGUGAGGGUGAUCGUCCACACUGGAACUGAGAAACGGUCCAGAGUCCUACGGGAGGCAGCAGUAGGGAAUAUUCGGCAAUGGGCGAAAGCCUGACGGAGCAACGCCGCGUGAGUGAUGAAGGUCUUCGGAUCGUAAAACUCUGUAAUUAGGGAAGCGGUACAAAAACAAAAAGCAACGGCUAACUACGUGCCAGCAGCAGCGGUAAUAC
rnacentral:rRNA from 1 species